rnacentral:rRNA from 1 species
GAUGAACGCUGGCGGCGUGCUUAACACAUGCAAGUCGAACGGAAAGGCUCCUGCUUGCAGGGGUACUCGAGUGGCGAACGGGUGAGUAACACGUGGGUGAUCUGCCCUGUACUUCGGGAUAAGCUUGGGAAACUGGGUCUAAUACCGGAUAGGACAACUUUUUGGAUAUUGUUGUGGAAAGCUUUUGCGGUAUGGGAUGAGCUCGCGGCCUAUCAGCUUGUUGGUGGGGUAAUGGCCUACCAAGGCGUCGACGGGUAGCCGGCCUGAGAGGGUGUACGGCCACAUUGGGACUGAGAUACGGGCCAGACUCCUACGGGAGGCAGCAGGGGGGAAUAUUGCACAAUGGGAGCAAGCCUGAUGCAGCGACGCCGCGUGGGGGAUGAAGGCCUUCGGGUUGUAAACUCCUUUCGCUAGGGACGAAGCUUUUUUGUGACGGUACCUGGAGAAGAAGCACCGGCUAACUACGUG